rnacentral:rRNA from 1 species
GGGACGAACGCUGGCGGCGUGCUUAACACAUGCAAGUCGAGCGGAAAGGCCCUUCGGGGUACUCGAGCGGCGAACGGGUGAGUAACACGUGAGUAACCUGCCCCUAGCUCUGGGAUAGCUCCGGGAAACCGGGAUUAAUACCAGAUACGACCACUUUAGACAUCUGUCGUGGUGGAAAGGAUUCCGGCUAGGGAUGGGCUCGCGGCCUAUCAGCUUGUUGGUGGGGUAACGGCCUACCAAGGCGACGACGGUAG